rnacentral:lncRNA from 1 species
AAACAUACUAAUUGCUUUCAUUUUCCCAGAAAGGGUUGAGCUUCUACACCUCAGGUACCAACCCAGUAAAAAAUCCCCCUUUGAAAUCCACCCUAUAAAGAUGUAUUUGACUAUCGUCAGUUUCCUCAUUUAAUAUUGUUUCUCCUACGAUGCUCAGCUAAGUUUAAAUAUUUCUACUUCAAACCAUCAUCGUCAGCCCCCAAAUUAUGCUAACAGUUCCUUUAGUAAGUAACUCAAGAUUAGAGGUCAUGUGGUUUGUUGCCCCUGUGUCAAUUAUCCAAUUUGGAUAGUUAAGAGGCAACAAAGCCAUGCACUCUUCAAUACCUG